rnacentral:snoRNA from 1 species
GGAGAAGCAAAGUGAUGAGCAUUACUGGCUGGAGCCCCGUGGAGGCCUGUGUGCGUGUGUGCGCUUGCGUGUAUGUGUCUCUCCUUGUCUGUGCAUGCACAUGUAUGUCCGGGAGUAUGAAUGUGUGUGACUGGUUGUAGGGAACUAGUUAUGUGCCUUCUGUUGGACCAUGACAGUCAAACUGAUAAGAUCUGAUUGCUUC